rnacentral:rRNA from 1 species
UACGUAGGCAGCGAGCGUUGUUCGGAGUUACUGGGCGUAAAGGGUGUGUAGGCGGUUGGUUAAGUUUGGUGUGAAAUCUCCCGGCUCAACUGGGAGGGUGCGCCGAAUACUGAAUGACUAGAGUGCGGGAGAGGAAAGUGGAAUUCCUGGUGUAGCGGUGAAAUGCGUAGAUAUCAGGAAGAACACCCGUGGCGAAGGCGGCUCUCUGGAACGCAACUGACGCUGAGACGCGAAAGCGUGGGGAGCAAACAGG